rnacentral:misc_RNA from 1 species
GCACAAUACAAAGAAAGAGCUUGGAUCUCUUUGCCAACAGUUUGACAUCUCUUACCAAAAGCCCUCUUUUUCAAACACCAAACCUUGCCAAGACUGUCAAACCCAAAGAUACCGAAAGUACAAGAAACACUAUUCCAAAGACAAACCUUCCUAAUUGGAAAAGCCUUGCAAAAGAAAAGCCCAUACUAGAAAGUACCGAAAAUCUCACCCAAAGCCACAAGAACCCACUCCCAG